AUUACCCUUUUUGGAGCUCAGAUGUUCACUUCAGCUGAGAGCGCUGCCGCCUAGAAGUGAUACGAUAUUAAAAUGCCAGUGCGCGAAGACACCUAGUGCAGCAUCUUGUCUGCAAUCGAGGUCUGCAUAUAUACCUGCAUCAACAUGUAGGCAUAUAUGCAGACCCGCACCGUUGUGUCUUGCCUUGAAAUCUCAAAUAAGGAACCUUGGCGUCUUGCAACAAACAUUGAAAGGAAUAGGUUUUACUAAAUAGUAUAUACCCAUUGCCGUGUUGUUUCAUCGUAGACGCAUGUCUCUAAUGAAAAUCAAAUAUAAAUAGGGUAUAGAACUAAAUGCACAAAUACAUCGGUUGGACGGAUCAGCGAAUUUCCACCGAACGAUCUAUAAACAGAUGUUUGAAGACAACACAAAUGGCCAUCACGAGUGAAUAUUCUGAAGUGAGGGGCUGCGCGCACCGCUAGUGAGACUAAUUAAAGUUUUUAGAUCGGUACAAGACACGCUGAACGUCCAAGGAGGACUCCGGCAAGAUACCGGCAAAGACACCCAUGUGUAUAGCCAUAACACCUGUUAUAGUGAACAGCGGAUGGCGGUGAUAUAUACCUCCACGAAUCAACCUGCUUACUGCCCGUGUGAUUGUGUCCGUACAGUUGUCUGUGUUUAUUGACAUACGUUUACGACAAACUAAACUUGUUUCACGGUCGAACGUCAUAAGCCGCUCUGAAUUGAUCACGAACGACGAGAACGGCAACUAACCCGUGACGACGACGACCAGAAAAAAAGCAACAAAUCUCUCUGCAGUGUGACACACCCUACAUGCGUGUAUCAUAAAACCGGUUAUAUACGCCGUGACCCAUUUUACUCAGUCGUACCUUUUCAACCCAGCCAGUAGCCCAGCGGCCCAACGUAUACAUUCUAUGCCAACAUAAGUCCUGUCGAUAGCGUGAGCUCUCUUUGGAUUUUUUCGGCUCGAUGCCACAUCAGCGGCAUCCGCUCAGUACCUGUGCCGAAACGCUAGACACGUAAACGUCAAGUAUGCAUUCGAAAUGCGGUUCGUCUUGGGCAAGUUCCGUAUUGCAUCUUGCGUCUUCGAUUCGGGUCGUCCAAACAGCCUCACGAUACUGUUGUUGCUAACUGUCGUGACCGUCUUCUGGUUACGCAUCACCAGAGCUACCCAGUAUUUGAAACCAUCUUCGUUAUUAGACGACCCUUCAGGGUCUACACGAGCAAUACUGGUUGAUAUGUGUUAGUUAAUCCCGUCCCUUGGCGUGCCAUGGAAUUACCACAGGAAGAUAAAAUGUUGGCCUUCAGAUACAUCGACUCAUUGCAUACUAUUAUAGACGUAUGUUCCUGGAAGACUGCUUUUACGCAGACGCAUGCGAUCGUAACUGCGCUUUAUAAAUGAUGCUAGCAAUCCUCAAGCUUAAAAGGUUCUAGCUAUACCUCUAUUGGCUCAACUGGCAACGACAAGGCCUUGCCCUUUUCCACCCCGUUUGUAGCAUAA